rfam:Ovis aries breed Texel chromosome 3, whole genome shotgun sequence.
UCCUUUGUGGUCCAGUGGUUAGGACUCCAUGCUUUCACUGCUGAGGACCCAGGUUCAAUCCCUGGCCAGAGAA